rnacentral:rRNA from 1 species
AUGGAGGUGAAGGCUGAGGAGGAGGAGAUCAGCAGGGAUGAUCUUGACCGCAAACUGAGAUCGAUGGAGCUGAAGGUUGAUGAGGAGGAGGUGAGCAAGGAUGAAGAAGCAAAAUCUGAAUCAAUAGCAGCCGGGAUGGCGGUCGAGGGAUUGGAUGCCUACCCUAGCUGCUGGGAGUCGUUAUGGCGCCCUGCGAGGAGUUUUGAGGACAUGACGUUAGCGAGUUCCAUGCUCUUUACACACUGCACACCAGGACGUAUGCCAAGAAAUGCCAUCGUUGGGAGCACCUUGCAGAUCUACUCAGUUAAGGUUGCAAAAAUACACGGCUUUGAGAGCCCCCUGAAGGUGUACGGUGUGGUUGCUGCCCGAGACACAGUGGACAGCAGUCGUAACCCAAUCUUUCUUCGUCCAAGAAAUGGCUCUCAAAUCCUCAAUCUACAGGAUCCCUUUCUACACUUAACUGGCCCAUGUCGUGCAAUUGUGUCUAUGAACCCUGUUGACAUUGAGAUAGAGCUGAAACUAAAGGGCGCAACCAAGUCCGAGGACAGGAUAUUGAUCAGCAAAGUCUAUCACUACAAUGGUGAAAGCAACUUAAGCAGUCCAUUCAGGCCACAAUCUCGCGUGUUCGGAUUGUUGAAAGGGACUCGGCGCCUUUUCCGCAUGGUGGCCGAGUUGCAUGCUUCUCGCUACCUCACGAGCAAUCCGAAGAAAUUGUGA